AUUGAACGCUGGCGGCAUGCCUUACACAUGCAAGUCGAACGGCAGCACGGGUGCUUGCACCUGGUGGCGAGUGGCGAACGGGUGAGUAAUACAUCGGAACAUGUCCUGUAGUGGGGGAUAGCCCGGCGAAAGCCGGAUUAAUACCGCAUACGAUCUACGGAUGAAAGCGGGGGACCUUCGGGCCUCGCGCUAUAGGGUUGGCCGAUAGCUGAUUAGCUAGUUGGUGGGGUAAAGGCCUACCAAGGCGACGAUCAGUAGCUGGUCUGAGAGGACGACCAGCCACACUGGGACUGAGACACAGCCCAGACUCCUACGGGAGGCAGCAGUGGGGAAUUUUGGACAAUGGGCGAAAGCCUGAUCCAGCAAUGCCGCGUGUGUGAAGAAGGCCUUCGGGUUGUAAAGCACUUUUGUCCGGAAAGAAAUCCUUGGCUCUAAUACAGUCGGGGGAUGACGGUACCGGAAGAAUAAGCACCGGCUAACUACGUG
rnacentral:rRNA from 1 species